rnacentral:rRNA from 1 species
AAUAUUUGACAAUGGUGGCAACCCUGAGCCAGCCAUUCUGCGUGUUUGAAGAAGGUCUUCGGAUUGUAAAGCACUUUAAGUUGGGAGGAAGGGCUUUAGGUUAAUACCCUGAAGUUUUGACGUUACCAACAGAAUCAGCACCGGCUAACUCUGUGCCAGCAGCCGCGGUAAUACAGAGGGUGCAAGCGUUAAUCGGAAUUACUGGGCGUAAAGCGCGCGUAGGUGGUUCAGUAAGAUGGGUGUGCGAUCCCCGGGCUUAACCUGGGAACUGCUUUCAUAACUGCUGAGCUAGAGUACGGUAGAGGGUAGUUGAAUGUCCUGUGUAGCGGUGAAAUGCGUAGAUAUAGGAAGGAACACCAGUGGCGAAGGCGACUACCUGGACUGAUACUGACACUGUGGUGCGAAAGCGUGGGGAGCAAACA